rnacentral:lncRNA from 1 species
AGCUGUGGGAUACUCCUAAGCAUGAUGCAGAAUUCAAUAUUCACGAAUUUAAGUUUAUCCAACAACUCAUCCCGCACACUUGAAAAACUCUCGAGCAUAAAACAAUUUGAAAGGUCAAGUUCUUGUAGCAAAUCCAACUUAAGAGGUGGAAUACUUCUGAGAUUGUGACAAUUUUUAACAAGCAUGGUUUUAAGUUUUCCAAGAAACCCGUCAACCACAAGUGGAAAAUUCUCAAGACUAAAACAACAUGAAAGAUCAAGUGUUUCUAGUGAAUCCAACUUGAGAGGUGGAAUACUCCUGAGACUGAAACAGUUUGUAACAAGCAUGGUUUUAAGUUUUCCAAGAUACUCGUCCACCACAAGUGGAAAACUCUCAAGACUAUGACAAUCUGAAAGUUCUAGUGUUUCCAGUGAAUCCAACUUAAGAGGUGGAAUACUUCUGAGAUUGCGACAACAUUUAACAUUCAGGGUUUUAAGUUUUGCAAGAAAUGUGUCCACCACAAGUGGAAAACUCUCAAGAGUAUCACAACAUGAAAGUUCUAGUGUUUCUAGUGAAUCCAACUUGAGAGGUGGAAUACUCUUGAGACUGUGACAAUUUUUAACAAGCAUGGUUUUAAGUUUUCCAAGAUACUCGUCCACCACAAGUGGAAAACUCUCAAGACUAUGACAAUUCGAAAAUUCUAGUGUUUCUAGUGAAUCCAACUUGAGAGGUGGUAUAAUUCUGAGAUUGCGACAACUCUUAACUUUCAAGGUUUUAAGCUUUGCAAGAAAUAUGUCCACCACAAGUGGAAAACUCUCAAGAGUAUCACAACCUGAAAGUUCUAGUGUUUCUAGUGAAUCCAACUUGAGAGGUGGAAUACUUUUGAGAUUGUGACAAUUUUUAACAAGCAUGGUUUUAAGUUUUCCAAGAUACUCGUCCACCACAAGUGGAAAACUCUCAAGACUAUGACAAUCUGAAAGUUCUAGUGUUUCUAGUGAAUCCAACUUGAGAGGUGGAAAACUUCUGAGACUGCGACAGCUUGUAACAAUCAUGGUUUUAAGUUUUCGAAGAUACUCUUCCACCACAAGUGGAAAACUCUCAAGACUAUGACAAAAUGAAAGUUUUAGUGUUUCUAGUGAAUCCAACUUGAGAGGUGUAAUACUCAUGAGACUGCGACAGUUUGUAACAAGCAUGGUUUUAAGUUUUCCAAGAUACUCGUCCACCACAAGUGGAAAACUCUCAAGACAAUGACAAUCUGAAAGUUUUAGUGUUUCCAGGGAAUCCAACUUGAGAGGUGGAAUACUUCUGAGAUUGCGACAACAUUUAACAUUCAGGGUUUUAAGUUUUGCAAGAAAUGUGUCCACCACAAGUGGAAAACUCUCAAGAGUAUCACAACAUGAAAGUUCUAGUGUUUCUAGUGAAUCCAACUUGAGAGGUGGAAUACUCUUGAGAUUGUGACAAUUUUUAACAAGCAUGGUUUUAAGUUUUCCAAGAUACUCGUCCGCCACAAGUGGAAAACUCUCAAGACUAUGACAAUCUGAAAGUUCUAGUGUUUCUAGUGAAUCCAACUUGAGAGGUGGAAUACUCUUGAGAUUGUGACAAUUUUUAACAAGCAUGGUUUUAAGUUUUCCAAGAUACUCGUCCGCCACAAGUGGAAAACUCUCAAGACUAUGACAAUUUGAAAGUUCUAGUGUUUCUAGUGAAUCCAACUUGAGAGGCGGAAAACUCCUGAGACUGCGACAGCUUGUAACAAUCAUGGUUUUAAGUUUUCGAAGAUACUCUUCCACCACAAGUGGAAAACUCUCAAGACUAUGACAAAAUGAAAGUUUUAGUGUUUCUAGUGAAUCCAACUUGAGAGGUGGAAAACUUCUGAGACUGCGACAGCUUGUAACAAUCAUGGUUUUAAGUUUUCGAAGAUACUCUUCCACCACAAGUGGAAAACUCUCAAGACUAUGACAAAAUGAAAGUUUUAGUGUUUCUAGUGAAUCCAACUUGAGAGGUGGAAUACUCCUUAGCUUGAUGCAAUGUCUAACACUCAUUAUUUUAAGCUUAUCACCAAAGUCAUCUAUCACAGGUGAAAAAUUCUCAAGAUUACUACACUCUGAAAGAUAGAGUUCUUCUAGAGAAGGUAACAUGAGAGGUGGAAUAAUUCUGAUUUCGGUGCAUUUUACAAUUCUCAAAAUUUUAAGGUUACCUAAAAAACCUAUCGAUUUAUCAAUUGCAAUUAGUGUCUUACAAUAUUGUAUUGAAAAUUCUUCUAAAUUUAGGAGACCAGAUAUAUCAGGUAUUUGUGCUAAAUCUUGACUUCUAUUGAGAUUUAAAACUCUCAUAUUCUGGAAUUUCUGCAAAAAAAUGGAAAUAGAAAACAUUGCAAAUAAAUAACUAAUAUUAAACCAUAUUUAUUAAUUUAAGAUAAGAGAUAUAAAUAUGUUACACUUGCCUUUGUGAGAAAGCCCUCCCACUCCAAUGGAUUGAGCUUGCUACAUUCCAGCACUCUUAGACUAUUUGGAAGAUGUUUGGGAUUUUCACAUAAAUAAACUUUAUUACCAAAAAUUAGUGUUUUAAGAUUCUCCAUCUUCUUGAAAGCUUCUCCAUCCCAUUCCACUUUAACCCAACUGUCCAAAUGUAUGAUUUCAAUUUUACUUGUUCCCUAAAAAGAAAAAAGGACAAAUCAACCGAAUAUAUAGUAGUACUUUAUACCAAGUAUUUAGAUAUCUUUAAAUACUAUUGAGAGUUUAAUUUAUAUAGACUCUUAGUGUUAAAAAGUUAUACACAUGCAUUCAUAAUUAUGUUUGGGUUUUUGAGAAAAAUCAGCAGGCAUAAUUAUUAGUGUUUUGAGAUUAUUCAUCCUCUUGAAAGCUUCUCCAUCCCAUUUUACUCUAUUCCAACAGUUGAAAUGUAUGAUUUCAAUUUGAUCUGUUCCCUAUACACAAAAACGGACAAAUCAAACAAUAUAUGUUUGUAAAAAAAUACACGAAUAUAUGUUAGAACUUUACGUUUUUUUUUUUUUGUUGAGAUGUUUUAAUCAUGAAUUUGAGAUGUUACACCACGUAUUUAAAGAUCUUGAAAUAUUAUUAAGUGUUCAACUUUACCCUUAUGUAAAUUGUAUGUUAAAAAGUUAUAUACAUACAUUUAAUCCAUCAAUUAAUAUAUGAUAAAUCAUAUGUUUUUAAUUCAUUAAAUGUAUGACAACACAUUUUUUAAGGUAUGAGUAAAAAAAAAUUACACUCAUCUACAUAUAAAUUAAACUCAUAAAGGUAAAAAAAAAAUUGUGAUAUUGUGACGAUUAAUAACAUUAAGGUUUAUUAGAUCAUUUGGUCCCUUAUUUAAUUUCAUGUUUUCAUUUUGAUCCCAUAAUUAAUAAAAAUGGCGUUUUAGUCCCUCACAUUUUCCUCCAUUUUGCAAAUAAAUCUCAACUGUUAAAUUUAAUCCAAAAUGUAUAUUGUGGACCAACAUUAUAGAUGGUUCAUUGUAGACUUUAUUAAUUUUAUUCAAUGUUAGCCCUUUGAUUAUAUUGAACAUAAAGGGACCAUUGGAUUAUCAAUUGAUUUUACCUCACAAGUUCAAUUCCACGGUAUUUGUAUUUGUUUUUACAAAUUAUGUUAUAUAAUACAUUGAACCAGGGGCAUCAAGGUUAAAACAAAGAAGCCUCGCCACCAAACCAUUAUAUUUGUCUUAUUUUGAAUUAGAACAUAUAUAUCAUAUAAUAUGAGUAAAUAGUCAAUUUCCCUCUUGAAAUUGUAGGUUUCGUCAAUUACCUCCCUGAUAUUAACAAAACUUCAAUUACCCCCUUGAAAUUGCAUAACGUUAAUCAAUUUACCCCCUCCAUCAAAUUUUUCUGUUAACAGUUUACGGUUAUGAUCAAAUACCCCCCGAAAUUUUGCACUUAUGUACAAAAUGCCCCCUAAACUUUAAAUAUUUAUAUUUUUUUAUCCUUGUCUCAAAAGAUAUUAAAGACAAACAAAUUAACAAUUAUUGAUCAUAUAAAUAUGUAUGGAAUGUAUGUUUAUGCAGCUAUUGGUUAUAUAAAUCUUGGAUAAUGAUAAAUAGUACGGGACGGUGAGCACGAAAAUUAACGAAAGUAGUUAUUGCUUGCCAUUUAGUCAUGUUUUCCGUAAAUUGGUUGUUUUUAAUACUUCUCAUGUUAUAAUUGUCAAGCUUUUUAUUAGCCAUUACCCAUGAUUUCCGUCAAAGCAUACUAUAUCAGUUUUUAAUUUCAUAAAAAUUGGACAAGUUGGGCAUUCGUCUAUUUUCGUACGUGCAUUUUUUCGUACCAUAUAGCAUUGCUGAUAAAUCUUUAUGGAAGGUAUGUUACUCUCAUGUGUUUUAAAUAUAUACAUAUAUAGAGGACUUUUUUUUACAGAAGUUGAUAAUUAUGUUAGAGUAUGCAGUCAUAAAGUACACAAAUCUUUGAUAAUUGUGUUGUCCAUAAAGAAAAUUAAUAGGUUAAUAUAUGCAGAAGGAAGAAGAAACAAGGCUUGUUGAUAAAUAUGAAAUAUGAAUGAAAAGGCUGCGCAUGACAAACCCAUGAUUUCUUUGGCAUAUAUUCAUUCAUUUUCUUGUGAAUAGAAUUUUUAUGCCAAUAGGUACAAUAUACUACUUAAAGAACUAAAUGUAUGAUUUUUUGUAAGAAAAAAAUCUAAAUUUUUAAGUUUAGGGGGCAUUUUGCACAUAAGUGCAAAAUUUCAGGGGAGGUAUUUGAUCAUAACCGUAAACAGUUAACGGAAAAAUCUGACGGAGGGGUAAAUUGAUUAACGUUAUGCAAUUUCAGGGGGGUAAUUAAAGUUUUGUUAAUUUCGAGGGAGUAAUUGACGAAACUUACAAUUUCAGAGGGGAAAUUGACUAUUUACUCCAUAUAAUAUAUGCUUUUUAUAGAUAAAAAAAAUAUGGUUGGGCUGAUGUGGCAUUAGCCACACCUAGCCUCACAAAUUCGCCCCUGAGCAUAUGCAACGACACGUUCUAAAACAUGCAUUUGUUCUAACGAAAUACUAUUAUUAUAGCUCAGACUAAAUCCAUCUUUAAAAGCUUUCCGUCUAACCAAACUCAAGAACAUCUUUUUCAUUCAACCCCUUCACCUCAUAUGUAAGUUCAACCCCAUGACAUGUUAGCAAGCUUUUGUCCCGAAUUGUGACGAUGAUUCGACUUAAGGAACUAAACCAUUUGUGUUUUCCAGCCAGAGCUUCUAAUUGCUCUAGCUUGUUAACAUCGUCUAGAAUCAAAAGCAACUUCUUUGGCUGGACCCUUUGCUCCAAUAUAGAAAUUCCUUGUACAACACCUGUUAACUCCUUAUUCUCCCCCAACUACUUUAAGAAUGAUCUUUUAGGAGAUACAACAAACCAUGUUUUUAAGAAUUUUCUCUACCAUGUAGGCAAUCAAAUUAUAGACAGAUAAAGUAAGAGUUGCUUUCCCUAUUCCACCAAUCCCAUGGAUCCCUACCAUGUGGUAUCAUCAGACCCAAGAUUCAAAAGGAAAGUUACAUGUUGCUUUUGCUGCUCCAGUCCAAGUAGGUAAGGCAAUGAGUUUUAUAUUUCCUAUGAUAUGUUCAACAAUCUCUCCAAUAAAUUUAUGCUCAAACUUAUCCCUAUUCCAAUAAGAGAAAAGAUGUUAUUCAAAUGCUUAUAUUAGGCUUAAUUGUGUUUUUCAUCCUCCAUAUAUCGCGAUUGUGUGGCUUUAGUCCCCAUUUUUUGAAGGAAUUUUGCCCCUUAUGUUUUCAUCAUGAUUUGAUAGUCUCCUUCCCAAAACUUACCUUGAUUUGACAUUAUUUAUUGAUGUAAUAGUCAACUCUUAUAAACAUGUGAUUUUUCUUUAUGUUUAAAAAAAUACCAAAAAUCAGCUUCUACACUUGAGACCUGAGAGCAAAUGGAACUUGUAAUAAGGGUGUCAGACAUUUUGUCAUGUUCUGAAGUUUUUCUUUUUUAUUUUAAAGAAAAGUAAUUAGUUGAGUGUCAUGUUAAUACAUGAUGUCACCGCAACUUAAUUUUGGAGGAAACUUGGGAAGGAGACUACCAAAUCACAAUGGAGGAAAAAAUCAAAAAAAAUUCAAAUUACACUUCGUCCUAUUUUUUCUUAUCAUUCUUUUUCCUAUUUUUCACACUUCUUCCGUUCUAACAUACCGCAGUUUUACAAUAUGCAUUAUUUAUUUAACUUAUUUUGACCAUAUUAGUAUGUAAGAUGUCGUACGAUUUGUUUCAAUGAAUAUUUUUAAAUUUCAAAUUUUUAUUGAUAAUUUUUAUAAUGGUCAAAAUCAUAUAUUGACAUGUGUUAAGUGGUUAAUUGUGACAUACAUUUAGAAACAAAAUGAGUAUUAAUUAAGCUUCUAUGAGUCGGCAUUUUUUGAUUGUGUGGUAUGUUCUGUGUAAUUAUUAAUAUGUUUACAUUUAUUUUAAUUCCAAUUGGUUUUUCAUUAUUAAAUGAAUUAAAAAAAUUAUUUUUCAAAUAUGACUCAGCGCAUUAUUAAAUGAAUUAGAAAAAAUUCUAAAUUUGCGACUUUUUUUAAUUCUGAAAAUUAAUUUCCAGAUUUUUUAUAUUUUUACAAAGAAAAAAAUUUCAAUCUCAAAAGGAAAACUUGAAGAUCAAUUUUUUAUUUUCGAAAAGUAUUAUCUAAUUUUUUGUUUUUUUUAAUCACAAAAAAUAUUUUCCAGAAUUAUUAUUUUUUGUAGAAAAAUAAAAAAAAACUUUUUUUUUGAAAAAAAUCUGAACUUUUUUAAUUUCGAAUUUGUUUAACUAAUUUUUGUUUUGUUUUUAUUUUGAAAAUUAAGUUCCAGAAUUUUUUAUUUUUUUAAGAAAAAAAUCUGAAUUUUUUUAAAAUUUUCGUAAUUAAUUAUCUGAUUUUUUUUUUAAUUUUUUUUUAUUUUUAAGUUAAUUUAAAUGAAAACCCAAUUAGGAUUUAAAUAAAUCUAAAAAUUUUAUAAUUACACAAUCAACAUGUCACAUAAUUAAAAAAUGCUAACUCAGUGCGCCACAUAAACAUAAAUAUAUAGUUAGCUGUCUUAAGUGUCUAAAGCUAAAGAAUCUUCAUAUUAUGGAUAUGGAAUUUAAACUUCUUUUAUAGGACAAAACAAAAAAUGAUCUAUAUAAAACACGGUUAACCUUUAAUUCAAAACCAGAUUCAACUGCAAAUCACUUUAUGAUAAGAAACCAUAUUUUUAAUCAAUUCAUAUUCUGUUAUGGUUUGUUUAAAACUCCAAAUCACUUCGUUUUCUUAAUCGAUUCGAAUUCUUCUAUUCUUCUUUUUAAUUAAUUAUGUUGGUUCUUUUUUUUUUUUUUUGGUUUGAAUUAUCGGUUUGGGUUUUGUGGUUAUCUUUUGUCCCUUUGCUUUAGUAUCGAUUUGAAUUCUUCUAUUCUUCUUUUUAAUCAAUUAUGUUGGUUUUUUUUUUUCUUUUUUCUGUUUGAAUUAUCGGUUUAGGUUUUGUGGUUAUCUUUUGUCCCUUUGCUUUAGUGGUAGGUAGUGUAGUGUAUCAGUUUUGGAGGUUGGUACUUCGUAGAAGGAAUUUUUGUUAUUGGCUUUGUUCUUCUAUUUUGGUCCUAUAGUUAAAUUUUUUUUUUUUUUUUUUUAAUCAUAGUCCUAUAGUUAAUUUUUUUUUUUGGGAUCAUGGUCCUAUAGUUAAAUAAAAAGACAUUUCUUACGUAAUUAGAAAGUGUGCACCAAAGCAUUAUAAGAUAUAAUAUUGUUAUCAUAUUUCUUUUAUCAGAUGCGCACCAAACAUAUGAUAGGAUAAGUAUAUAUUAUAUCAUUAUCAUAUCAUAUCAUAAUCCAACCUACCAUAUCAUUUCUUUAUCAUAUUAUACGCAUUAAACAAGUACUAAGAGUUUAAGUUAUAUACAUCUUAAUCAUCAGUGUUAGAAAGUUUUACACAUACAUCUAAUGAUAUGUUUUCACAUCAAUUAAUGAUAUAUGAUAAAUCAUGUGUUUUUAAUCCAUUAAAUGAAAUGAUGUAGCAACAUAUUAUUUGAAUGUAUGUAUAAAAAACAAUUACACUAACGCCGCAUAUAAAUUAAACUCGUAUAAAGGAAAAAAAUUGUGACAAUUAAUAACAUUAUUAAUGCAUAAAGCAAAAAAGGUAACUUAGCGCUAGGAUUAACAAUAGUAACUCACCUUAUUUUCUUCUAAAACUUUUUGUAUAUCUUUAGGGUCCCAUAACCUACUGCGUUCUCCCGGAUUAUUUGGUGACUCUUGUCUAACAAUUUCUUUUCCCAUAUCUUCUAGCAAAUCAUGUAAUGCUACAUAACCAAACCCAUCUAUUUUUAUGAGAGAUUUUUCCACUAACACAUUAAUGUGAUCUUUCAUGUUAUCACCAUGAUGAACAUGAAGUAUUUCUUCGACCCUUGUUAAUUUCCAUCCUUUGAAGCAACAAGCAAUGUCAAGAAAAACAAACUUCUCUUCGUCCUCCAGAGCAUCAAAGCUCACUUGUAGUGUCAUUUGGAUCUUUUUAUGAGGAAUUUUUUCGUAACGAUCUAGUGCAUCUUUACAUUGUUCUAUUGUCUUAUUAGAAAAGUGAGAACCCAUGACUUCCAAAGCGAGUGGAUGACCAGAGGCAUAUGUUACAACACGUUCUAAAACAUGCAUUUUUUCUGUUGAAACAUUUUUGUAGCUUGGACUAAAUUCAUCUUUAAAAGCUUUCCUUCUAACCAACUCAGCAGCAUCUAUGUCAUUCAACCCCUUCACCUCAUAUUUACAUUCAAUCCCAUGACAUGUUAGCAACCUUUUGUCCCGAGUUGUGAUGAUGAUUCGACUUGAGCGAUUAAACCAUUCGUGUUUUCCAGCCAGAGCUUCUAAUUGCUCUAACUCAUUAACAUCGUCAAGAAUCAAAAGUAUCUUCUUUUGCUUGAGCAUCUGUUCCAAUUUUGAAAUCCCAUUUAGAACACUUGUUAACUCCUUUUUCUCCCCAACUACUUUAGAAAGAAUGAUCUUUUGGAGAUAUGGUAACCCAUGUUUUUCAUGACUUUCUCUAACAUUUUCAACAAAACAUGAAACCUCAAAUUCAUUGGCAAUCAAAUUAUAAACAGAAAUAGCAAGAGUUGUUUUCCCUAUUCCACCAAUCCCGUAGAUCCCUACCAUACAUGCUUUAUCAUCCGACCCAACAUUCAAAAGGGAAAUCACAUGUUGCUUUUGGUGCUCCAAUCCAACUUUGUAAUCACCAACAGGCAAUGCAACAGGUUCUAUAUUUCCUAAAACUUUUUCAACAAUCUCCCCAAUAAACUUAUGCUCAGGCAUAUCCCUGUCCAAUAUGAGAAAAGAGGUCAUUCAAGUGCAUAUAUUAGGAUUAAUUGUGUUUUUCAUCCUCUAUCUACAGCGACCGUACAAUUGCCGUCUCCAUUUUUUUAGGAGUUUACAUUUUGACAUUUUUUUUGAGUUUUAUUUUUAAAUUUUAAAGGAAAAUCAUUAAUUGAGUGUUAAGUUAAUAAAUGAUGUCACAAUAAUAUAUAUUUGGAUGAAACUGAGGAAGGAGACUACCAAAUUACAAAGGAGGAAAACGGGGCAAAAUCGCUCAAAUUGUGCUAUGCUUUGUUUGUUGUUUGAGAUUUUGAAAAAUGAAUUAAGAAAUAUAAUUACCAUAGAUGUUUUAAUAAAAGGAACUUUGUUUAGUUUCUUAUCAUUCUCUUUACCGCUAUUAGCGUUUAGACGGCACAAGUGCCGUCUUUUUUUUUUUUUUUUUUUUUUUGCGCUAAUGCGAUAAAUUACCAAUAUUAUUUAUGAAAUGUUGAUUAAAAUUAAAGGUAUAUAUAUUACAUAUUUUACACUUUCAUAUUGCAACAAACUAUAUUUAUUUUUUUCUAUGAUAUCAAAAAUAUAAAAAAUCUUUCAGAGACAAAAAAACAAUAUAACAAAUAAGGUUAAAUAUAUUUUUUGUCCCUAUAAUAUACAAACUUUUCGUUUUAAUCCAUCUAAAAUUUUUAUUCAACUUGAAGUCCCCAAAUCCAUCUUCACUUUUGGCUCAUCCUUUUAAAUAAACUCAUAUGUAGAAUUUAUAUUUUUGAUUAAAAUGUUGCAGAAUAGUUUAUAAUAUAAUCUCUCAAAAAAAUUAGAAAUUUUUAACUAAACAUGAAUUAAAUAAGAGUUUUUCAAUUUUUUACGGUUAAAUAUUAAUAUUUUGUUAAAAAAUUAUAUUUUUUUUGAAGAUUUUGACAAUAUUAUAUACAUUUCUUCACAUUUCAUUAAAAGUUACAAAGUUUACGGGAGUUGACUUAAAAAUAAGAACCAAAAGUAAUUAUUGAAAUUUGUAUAGAACCUAAAAGUCGAUGAUAUUUUUUAAAGGGACUAAAACGAAAAGUAGAUAUAUUUAUAGGGAUCAAUAUUUAACCUUAACAAAUAUAAUAUAAAUUCUUAUCUUUUUUAAUGAAAUCAACAAAAUAACUAUUUUAUAGUCAAAUUUGUUUAAGGUAUAAAAUCACAACCAAACGAACCAAUAUAUUUUUUCCUAGAGGAAUGCUAAUGACACUUUCAUAGCAUUCAGACUUUUACUGAAUAAAAUUAAUGUAUGACCCAUCAGUUCGAUCAAAUCGAAUCCGUAUCUAAAAUAUAAGAUUACUUUGAUUUACUAAUCUUAUGUAAUGAACCUGGAUAAGAAACUGCCACGUCAGACAUCUUAGGUGUAAGGGGUUAUAAGAAUGAGAAGGGAAAUGGAAAGGGGGUGUGAAAUAUGUGAUGAUCUCAUUUCUCUUCUAAUCUCUCUCUUUCUCUUUUGUGUACCUCUGUACCUUCAUAAUUUUCUGCAAUUACUUGUUAUUGAACAAUCCAUUAAACACUGUACUAAAUUCCCCAUUAUUCAAGUUUAGUUCCUUUGAAUAUUUGUACCAUCAUUACAUCUUACUCUAUUUUUCUAUGUAGUUGGUGUAAGUGGUAAAGAUUAACUCACAUGAUCUGGAUUUAAUUUUUUUUUAAUGAGAAGAUAACUUAGGUAGAUAAUUUAUAAAGGGUUUGUCUGACAUAUAUAAUAUUGCAUAUGUUAAAGCUAUUAAAAUUAAUAAGUUUUUAUUGAAAAACAACAGUUAUUUAUUAAAAAGUUAUAUAUUUAAUAUAAAUUAUAAAAACCUCUAUAAAUUUUCAAUUCAUAUGAACUAUCCGUCAAAUUGUAAGUAUCCUUUUUUUAUAUUUAAAAAUCUUAAAUUAUUUGUAACUAAAUUAUCAUUAAUUAUUUAUUAAAGAGUUUAUUGUUUGUGAGUUGGGUUUCGGAGGGGAGGGGAGGGGAAGGAAAUGUUUAUGGAGUGUAAACCCUUGUUUGCGAGUUUUAAAAAAACAAGGGAAAGGUUUUGGGGGGGUUUUGAAGGGCUUUGUCCAAUUUUAAAGUUCCCCCAAAUUGGAGGGUUUUGGGGGGUUAAACAUAUAAAUUGACAAUUUUGUCCUCUUAAUAAUUCCAAAUUCCAAUUUUAGACAUUACUAAAAUUAUUACAAUCUUUUUAAAAAAAAACUUAUUCAAAACAACUUAUUUAUAUAAAAGAGCUUAUUAAGACCUCAUUUUCAAAAACUGCUUAUUUAAAACAACUUAUUACGACCUCAUUUUAAUAAAAAAAACUUAUUCCAAACAACUUAUUUAUACAAAACAGCUUAUUACGACCUCAUUUUCAAAACAGCUUAUUUAUCCAAAACAGCUUAAUACGAUCUCUUUUUCAAAAACAGCUUAUUCAAAACAGCUUAUUUAUAUAAAACAACUUAUUACGACCUCAUUUUCAAAAACCGCUUAUUCAAAACAACUUAUUUAUACAAAACAGCUUAUUACGACCUCAUUUUCAAAAACCGCUUAUUCAAAACAACUUAUUUAUACAAAACAGCUUAUUACGACCUCAUAUUCAAACACAGCUUAUUCAAAACAACUUAUUUAUGAAAAACAGCUUAAUAUGAUAUCUUUUUCAAAAACAGCUUAUUCAAAACAACUUAUUUAUACAAAACAAUUAUUACGAAACAGCUUAUUAAUAAGCUAUUUUGAAUAAGCUGUUUUGUAUAAGCUGUUAUUUAAACAAAACAGCAUAUUACGACCACAUUUUCAAAAACCACUUAUUCAAAACAACUUAAUUAUACAAAACAGGCUUAACAUGACCUCAUUUUGAAAAAUAGCUUAUUCAAAACAACUUAUUAAAGCAAAGCAGCUUAAUACGAUCUCUUUUUUAAAAACAGCUUAUUUAUAUAAAACAGCUUAUUACGACCUCAUUUUCAAAAACCGCUUAUUCAAAACAUCUUAUUACGACCUCAUUUUAAAAAAAAAAAAAAAACUUAUUCAAAACAUCUUAUUUAUACAAAACAGCUUAUUACGACCUCAUUUUCAAAAACAGCUUAUUCAAAACAGCUUAUUUAUGCAAAACAACUUAAUUCGAUCUCUUUUUCAAAAACAGCUUAUUUAUACAAAACAACUUAUAACGACCUCAUUUUCAAAAAUCGCUUAUUCAAAACAACUUAUUUAUACAAAACAGCUUAUUACGACCUCAUUUUCAAAAACAGCUUAUUCAAAACAACUUAUUUAUAUAAAACAGCUUAUUACGACCUCAUUUUCAAAAACCGCUUAUUCAAAACAACUUAUUUAUACAAAACAGCUUAUUACGACCUCAUUUUCAAAAACAGCUUAUUCAAAACAACUUAUUUAUGAAAAACAGCUUAAUACGAUAUCUUUUUCAAAAACAGCUUAUUCAAAACAACUUAUUUAUACAAAACAGCUUAUUACGACCUCAUUUUCAGAAACAGCUUAUUCAAAACAACUUAUUUAUGAAAAACAGCUUAAUACGAUAUCUUUUUCAAAAACAGCUUAUUCAAAACAACUUAUUUAUACAAAACAGCUUAUUACGAAACAGCUUAUUAAUAAGCUAUUUUGAAUAAGCUAUUUUGUAAUAAGUUGAAAAAGCUAUUUUUGAAAAAGAGAUUGUAAUAAGUUGUUUUAUAUAAAUAAGCUAUUUUGAACAAAUUUUUUGAAAAGAGGUCGUAAUAAGCUGUUUUGUAUACAUAAGUUGUUUUUGAAAAAGAGAUCGUAUUAAGCUGUUUUGAAUAAGCUAUUUUUUUUUAAAGAGGUCAUAAUAAGCUGUUUUGUAUAAACAAGCUGUUUUGAAUAAGUUGUUUUUUAAAAAAAGAUCGUAAUAAUUCGUUUUUUCAUAAGAUAAGCUGUUUUUUAAAAAGAGGUCGUAAUAAGUUGUUUUGUAUAAAUAAGUUGUUUUUAAAAAGCGAUUGUAAUAAGUUUUGUUUUUUUUUUUUAUAAAUAAGUUGUUUUGAAUAAGUUUUUUUAAAAAUAGAUCGUAAUAAUUUGUUUUUCAUGAGAUAAAUUGUUUUGAAUAAAUUAGAAGUUAAAUUACGAAGUAUAACAAUGUAUUGAUUUUAAGAGGAAAAAUGGUAAAAUAGUAAAAUUAUAACAUAAGCCCUCAACUUCCUUUCCUUAUUGGCUUUUUAACUCCUAAACAAGGGGAAUGUUUUCCCUCCUUUCUCCCUUCCCUCCCUUUCCUUCCCUUUCCCUUCUUAGUCUUUCCUUUCCUUCCCCUCAAAACUCGCAAAUAAAGCCUAAAGAGUUUAUUGUUUUCAAUUCAAGUGACUAUUUUUUGAUGGACAAAUGAAAUAAAAAACAGAACAUAGGAAUAUACCGUUUCUUCUUGUAAUGAAAUCCAGACAAAUCAGCUACUUGGUGAAGACACACCUUCCAUUUAUCAAGAUUUGAGUUGGCCUUAUGUUUAUCCAUUGCUUCUCCAUAACUCUUUUCUAACUUCCGUAUAACAGAGGGAUCCACCUUAUAAAAUACCGGCAAAACGGAACGUCCUUUAUCUUUGAUGGAAUGAAGGAUAUGAGAAAGUUCUUGUAAGCAAAAGGAGGAAGAAGCAUAAUUCUUAGAAAGGACGACGAUGGCGAUUUGGGAGUCUUCAAUUGCUUUGAGAAGUGAUGGUGUGAUUUCUUCGCCUUUUUGAAGCUCCUCAUCGUCCAUGAAAGUUCUAACUCCUUUGUCAUCUAGAGCUUUCUUGAGAUAGCUUGUGAAACCAUAACGAGUAUCCUCACCUCGAAAGCUGAGAAAAACAUCAUACUUGAAUCGAUUUGUGACUGUGAGGGGAGCCAUGAUGAGUGAAUGAGUUGGUUUGAUGAAUAUUAGUAUUCAGAUUCAAAGGAAAGAACAGUUGUUUAUAGAAAAUUGAGCUAGGAUGAAUGUGAAUUAUGCAGAGUGUACUGAACUUAAAGGACUUUGGAGUAUCUAUAAAGUCAUGAAAGUGGGACUGCCUUGUCACCAGUUGAGGCAAUUUCCGGGCAAUUUCCCCGAAUUGAUUAAGCAAAAUAAUUUCAAGGGGCAGAUUUAAAAGUGAAAUAAUCCCCGUGAACUUAGCUCAGUUGGUACGGAUAUUACAUAUUAUAUGCAGGGGCCCGGGGUUCGAAACGCGGACACCUCACUUCUCCGCAAUUAAAUUGUGUGAGCUUUAGCCACUAGUCUCCUUGAUCCAAAAAAAGUGAAAUAAUGUUAAAGCUGCUGGGACAUUAUACGAGUGAAAGUGAAAUUCUCGUGUUGUCAGUAGAGGAGGAAAAGUGAAAUUCUCGUGUUGAUUAAACAAAAAUGUUUGGACAUUAUAUUUAUACGAGUGUUGUAUUACCAUUUUUUUUGAUAAUUAUCUCUCACGUACUAAUGUUAUUUUCCUAUUUCAUCUCUCCUCUUUUUCUUUUUCUAUUAUUUUAGUCUAAUAAAAAGAGAGAAAAAUAAAAUGUACCAAAAGUUAUGAGAUAUACGUAUAGUUUUAUACCCCGUGAAACUUUAAGUUGAAUCAAUCAUUUACACAAUUGAAUAAUCACAUGAAUUGAAUAAGAUCCCGUUUGGAUAAAUAGUUUAUACACGGGCUUAUAACAUUAGAGUUUAUAGAACUAGAGCUUACAUAAGCUCUUAUACUCAAUAAACUUUUUAUGUUUGAAUAUGUACAUUAAAAAGUACUUAUAUAAAUUGAAAUGUUUGAAAAUGUCACUACAUAAGCAAAUAUGAAAUGUUAAAAUAUUUUUAAUUUAACAUAUAUAUAAUCAAAGAAUCAAACCACGAUUAUAAAGAUGAAAAAAAAAACAAUAUUAAUAUAUAUAUAUAUUAACUUUCUGUUUAGUCGCUCUAAAAGUUGUUUUCGAUUUUUAGUCUCUAAAAAAAAUUUCAUCUUCACUUCUAGUCUCUCAUUUUAAGUAAACUUAUAUGUAGAAUUCAUAUUUUUGCAGAAAGGAGAAAAGAGGAACUUAUUUACCCAAAAACAAAAAAUCGGCAAGAAAGGAUGUGGAACGGCCAUUUGGAGUGCUUCAAUCUCGAUUUGCAAUUGUACAUGGUCCGGCCAGUGCUUGGCACAUGGCUACAAUCAAACAUAUAAUAUAUGCAUGCAUCAUAUUACAUAAUAUGAACGUUGAAGAUGAACGACACACAUAUGAUGGUAAUUUUGAGUAUGAUAACCCAAACAAUGACAUCGCCACAACUGAAGUAUCCAAUGCUCCUCAUUCUGAUUUCAUCACAUACUUGCAAAGGAGAGCACAUGUUCAUGAAAGAGAAAAACAUCGACAAUUGCAGGGAGACUUGGUGGAACAUAUUUGGUCAUGUUUUCAGGCAUGAUAAUAAUGAAAACUAAUUUUUCAUUUUUUUAUGUAUUUCUAUUUGGUUGAACUUGUUCUCAAUAAAUUAUGUAUUUCUUUUCAUAAUUAGAUAAUAUAUCUAUUUUUCCGUUAUUUAAUAUUUUUAGAAAAAAAUUAUAUAUAAAUAAGAAUUUCAUUUUGAAAAAUAUUAUAAUAAAAUAAAAAUAUGUGAGGUCAAUUGUAGGACCAUAUAAUGUAAGUUAAGAACACAAAUAUUGUACUUUGCAUUGGACUAAAAAUGAAAGAAAGUUCUUAAUAUAUAAAGCCUCCAAUUACCAACUUAUUGGUUUCUUAUAUUCUUUUAUAGAAACCAAAAUAGUUAAAUGUCAUAUAUUCUUCCACUCUAAAAAUGAAAGUUUUAUUUGGAUCCAUCGAAGGCAGUAAGUUUAAGAGACAUAUGUUACCAUUUAACUUCAAAAUCCAAGCACUUAAAGUGUGAUACAUUCUGAUAAGAAUCCAUUUAUAGAUCACAGUUAAGUUAGCUGAAAUAAUGCUAAUAUGCAUGCAAGUGUGAUACAUUCUUAUACAAUGAUCUGUUAGAUUUAAUUAGUUGUUUUGAAAAUUCAGUCAUGUUGAUAAAACUGAGUGCCAUUUUCCAUGAGCAGUGUGGCAAGAUUCAUGCAAUUGUAAGGAAGCAUCUGCUGCCAAUUUUUAAGGAUCAAAUUGAAGAGGGCGCGCAACUUAUGUUAUGGAGAAAUUCAUGGUUGCCCAAAAUGAUCCUACCUCCAAAACAACCGAUCAUAAGAAUAAGUUGAGCUUUAUGGCAGAAAUCAAUUUUUUCAAGGUUAAUGCUGCAGAAAUCCCAGAAAGAGUUUUCAACUUGUGCCUUUCCUUGAUAUCUUAGCUGCCCAUAGGGAGGACCGUUUGCUUGGUAGUUUUCUAUAUUUUUUUAAUUCAAUUUUCUAGACUUUCUUUUAGUUUUAUCAGAUGUCAUUUACCUAUAGUUUGAAUGUAUUCAAUAGAUGUGAUUGGUCUUUGUGUUUCUGAAUAAUUCUAAUUGCAACAACUUUGUUGAAUUAGAGUUUGCCAUAUUUCAUGAGUUUCUUUUUUAUUUUGCACUUCAAUGGAGUCAUGUUUUUCCCCUCAACUUAUGGUGAUUUGUUUAUAUUUCAUGGAAUUCAGGCAAAGCUAAGAGAGGUUCCAUCUUUGGAGGGACAUGUUCUUUUGAAGAAGCAAAGAGAUGCAUUAGAAUAUUUGAAAGGCCGUUUUACAGGAAGAAAUAAAGAGGAUGUGGCAAAUUCUAUCUCUAUGGUUUGUUAUUUUAUACUACUCCAUGCUCUUGAGUCUUGUGUACUUUACUUUGUUCAUUGUUUGAAUUCGUAUUUCUGUUCAUUCCCUGUGGUGACCGAAAAAAAAAAUCGAAUCUUCCUGAUUUUUUGAGUUUCUAGGCUCGCUCUUUUCGAGAAUAUCAAUUUUUUCUUUAUAUUCACAUAUUUCAGUGACUCUAUUUCAAAGUGCAUUACAAAAAUUCUUAUUCCUCUUAAUCAAUCCAUGUUACUCCAUAAUUAACAAUAUAUUAUUCACAGGUGGAAGCUUUAGCCGUUAAGUUGACUCAGAAGAAUGAAGGAGAAUUGAUUCAAGAGAAGUUCAAAGUGAAAAAGCUUUUGAAUUUUCUCAAACAGGUCUUAUUUGACACCUAAACCUUUAUUUUUCUAAAGGAAUAUAUAGAAUAUGCGUCAAAACAUUAAGAUUAUUAUUUAUUUUUUUCUGAAAAAGAAAUGUGAUUCCAUCUUUGUGCUAUAGGCUUCUGAAGAUGCUAAAAAGUUGGUUAAUCAAGAGCAGUCUUUUGCUUGUGCCGAAAUCGAGAAUGCUAGAGCAGUGGUGCUGAGAUUUGGGGAGGCACUUGAAGAAGAAAAAGUUACACAAGCUUCUAAAAAAAUCAAAAUCUUAAUAUUAAUUAAAUCAUCCCAAACAUCAAAAUAGAAUUCAAUAAAUAAGGUAAAACAUUUCAUUACCUGAAAUUUCCUAUAGAUUAUAAUCAGAAUCAGUUUCAUCUUCACUUUCAAGAUCGUUAUCACUUUGUGGCAAAAAGACUUGCGAAACAGGUUCACUAACCAAAUCUUGCAUAACCAUCUUUGACAGAUCACCAUGACAUCCUAUAUUGCCCACCAGAUUUUUUUCAGGCUGACAAAUGCUUUGAGAUUCAUCAAAUGCAUAAGGUUGAGAUUGCAUUGGAGCUGACAAAGUCUCUUCAACAAAACAACUUCCAUUAACAUUUUUCCUGCGAUGGUCGGAACUUCUCUUUUCACGAUGUUCCACAACUUCAAUCUCAUGCGAGUGUUUUCGUUUCAGACUACCUACAUUAUUACCAUAAAUUGUUUGAGUGAGAGACUUGAGCCUAACCUAUCAGCAUAAAUUAUACAGUGAGUUACCUUGAUUGGAUUCUAAGAACUGAGAGACAAUUUGCUCAAAAUCCAUUGCUUUUGACGCUGAACAAAUAUCUAAGGAUGACUUUAGAAGAUGCCGAGACACACAAGACAUAUAAUUGCAAGGUUAGAACUGCUUGCAGGAGGAAUGCUGAGAAAUCUUUGGGUGGUGAAUGGUUUGACUUCGUCAUAGACCGCGGCUUAAAAGAGAAUGACUUAUUGAAGAUGAUCAGGUCAUUUUGGAAAUGUAAUUUUAUAAUCCAUAAUGCACGAGUACUUUAAAAUCUGUGUUGCAAAGCUUUUUAGCGUAUUAACAAAUCUGUGUUUGCUUGCAAUAAUCCAUUCCUCUAUAACAAAAAAUUUCGAAAAAAGGUCAUUCAACCCGUGCGAAGCACGGGUUUGUAACUAAUUAAUUAAAAAAAUAAUAAAACUAAUUAAAUAUAGUCAUGUGACCAAAAGCAGUGUGUAGUCUGAAUUGUGAAAUGAAGAAAGGUUAGAGUAAUAAAAUAAUAAUACAUAUGCAGAAAGUGUUGAAUUCAACUCAACAACUAAUAUAACUACUAACAUUUGCCAUUAAAAAAAAAAAAUUAUGUGAUUUGAACAAUCAAAUUUAAAUAACUUUUUAAUUGAUUGACACAGUUCAAAUACAUGGUUAAUUAAUCAUGUUUAAUGAAUGAUUAAUUGAUAUACUAGAUGUGGAAACUUAUAAACCAUCAACGAAUUUCAUUAACUAUAAAUUUAGAUGUGGUAAACAAUAAUUACAUAUGUCAAAUUUACAUGCAUGUGAACACCUGAAAAUUAAGUUUAAACUAGAUUGAGACAUGUGCGUUGCGCGGCCGAAAUAAUCGGUUUUUGUGUAUCAUAUUUGAAAGUGAUAUAGUAUAUGUUGGAGAUUAAUGUUGGACUAACUCUAAGUUUUUCUUUGGUUUCUUGACAACUCAAUGAAAUGGGACAAACCAAGUAUGAAAUUAGAAUCAAUGGUUCAAAGGGCAAUAGCCUUAAAUAAUUGAAAGAAAAAGCUGAUUUUUAACCUAAACAUUUAUAGGGCAUUCAUGUUUUUAAUAAAAAUAUGACAAGACUAAAUUCUGUAAACAUAAUAAUCUUGUUAGGAAGGCUUGUGCAUGAAUUGUUUAGUCGUGGAAGUUGAACUAUGGUUCAAGCCAAUUAUUUUAAUGUUCUACUGAGUAACUGUUCUAAUAUUCCACCAAGCAGUAGUUUUAAUCAAGUUUAUAUCUUACAAUCAAUAGAAGGUCUUUUUAGUUUUUAGAAAGUAAUGGAAAGGACUUCAAACAACUUCGAAUAUUUCUUUUGUUGCUGAAUUUAAACCAUAAAAUUACUAACAAUGACUGUAUGUGCAACUUUAAUACAUUUAGAGACUAUGAAUAACGGUGCAUCACACUUUGAGUGACCAAAAUGGAUGUUUGCUGUGAAUUGUUAGGUGUCCAAGACUUCUAUCUGCAAUUAAAUUUUUAAUUUUUGAAGUAAAAGCAUAACUGUAAUCAAUUUUCAAGUAUAACUACAUUUGACUAUUAGAAAAACGAUUUUCAAGAAUAUCGAUCAAAUGCAUUGUAGUUGGAUUAUACUUUACAUAACUAUUUUCCGUUUACAGUAAUGAAGUACUAAAUUUUCAAUAAAAUACCUCAAUGGUGGAACCUCAACCGUGAAUUUUUUAAUUGGUCUUUCUCUGAAUUUUUUAUUACUAAGGACAAUUCCAAACAUUGCAUAUAUAGGACUUGCAUGUUGCAACACAUUAUUUUUGGUAUCAGAUUUUGACAAUGAGUUAAGAAUGUCUCUAAGAAAUGAGAUAUUUUUGUUUCCAUCCAACCUGCGAGAUUUUCAAAUUUUAGAGUAAUGACCCAAUUUGAUCCCUCACAAUUUUCUCGUGGUCCAAUUUAAUCCUUGCCAAAGAUUAAAUCCAAUUUAUUCAUAGGACAAAUUGGUGUUGGACUCUUUACAACAUAUAGACUAAUUUUUCAACGAAAUGAAAAUGUCGUGAAUUACUUUUGUAUUAUUUUUUGUUGAGACUAAAUUGAGCCGUGAGAAAGUUGUGAAGGAUCAAAUUAGUUCUUCAUGAGACAACAUACCAAAUAACAAAACAUAUUAAGCACAUACGAAAUGCUUGAGAAACAUUUGUUGAUAGUAGAGAUAAAAAUUCAGAAUGAUAGAAAAUUGAAGUAGAAAGAAACCUUGCAUGAUUGAGGAAGAUUGCAGAUUGUCAUGCUGCCAUUAUCAGGGCUGUCAUUGAAAUGAAAAUGCUCCUACAGGAAUAAAAAGAAUCUAAUAACUUAGUGAAGAACAAAACAAAUCUUAUAUUUGUCAUUUUAACAGGAAUUUACACCUUAACGUAUUACAAAAAUCUUGAUAAACGCACUGAAAUCUGAAGAUAUGCCUGCAUUUUUUAAUUGCUUAUGAAGUUAUUCACCUGCUCCAUCAUUUUCAUCCUGAAAGUUAAAAUCUAGAAACAAUGUGAAAGGCAAGUCAUUACUAUCAUAGAUACCAACUCUCUCAUAUCCUACAGUUAAUUGAUCUGAAAGAUUGAUCGAAUUUGAAACUGGCUUAGGCUUGCGGUAUGCCGGAGUUAUGAGGAACAGAGUUGUCGGCUAAUACAUAACCAGCUUGGAGAACAUCUUUGCUACUGUCGUCAUUGACAUUGUAGAUAUUGUGAGAUAUUCGUUAUAAACGAUGGACGCGCAAGACAUCAUUGGAUUGAGCAUUGGUUGUGGAAAAUCGCACUCAGAGGGAUAAGGAUAAAAGAAUCACAUGCAGAAGACAUACAAUAAAAAUGUAUGAGCCUAUAGAUGCAAUGGAUGUGAAAUGUUGUGUGUAAGGUGCACAACCUACAUGGCUUUUGUACGAUAGAAUUGACUAGCACUUAACUAGUCUAAGCACCCGUGCGAUGCAUGGAUAAAGUUAGCGGUUGCAACUUGCUCCUUGAAUUUGCCAGCUUCAUUCAUAGGGCAGUGAGUAUCAAAAUUUAAUUUUUCAAAAUAGAUAAAUCGUUUCUCAUUUUGCUUAUGUCUAGAGUGGAAUGUUAUUCAUAUUAUGCAUAUUUGUCCUAUGACCGUUUAGGCUUGGAAUCACUUUGUAUAUAAAAAUGGAAGCAUAUUGUUUAACGAUUAAUAUUAGUAUCGUUUAUAAUUGUUGGUAUAUUACGUGGACCUAAAAGCAUACUGAAGGUAUUAUUGACAAAACAAUCUAUACUGCAUUGUCCUCGUGAGCUUAGCUCAAUUGGUAUGGACAAUGCAUAAUAUACGCAAGGUCCGGGGUUCAAACCCCGGCCACCACAAAAGAAAAAUAGUCUAUACUGCAUUGAAUUUCAAAAAAGACUAGAAAAUAGAAACAAAUUUGUAUUACAAAAUUGACAAGUAAAAAAGAAAGAGGAAUAAAAAAAAUUACACUACAUAUCAUAUGUAAAACAUGCACUUUUCACACUUGUCAUUCAAUGCAUAGCAUUACCAACAAAAACCCUUCAUUCAUCUCCUUUGGUCACCCUUUACUGAACUGAGUCCAAAUUUAAUGCAUUCUUGAAGCUGCAGAUGGUACAAGUUUUAAUAAGAAACUCAUAAAGAAAACAAUAAAUAACAAACUAUUUAAGCAAAUGCCAGAAGAUUUUGGCUAACAACAAUAGUAAGUUCUGCUGUUCCAUUAUGUUAAGUCAGACUUAAAUUUUCAUAAAAAUAAAGAGACCCACCUUCUUGCAAAUCCAGUCUGGCGCAAUCUUUUCCAAAAUCUCGAUCUGUUCUUCAGCUUAUCCUAUUGGGAGGACAUAAUUAAUUAGCUACAUUGUUUAUUACUAAAAAAACUAUUUACUAUGCUUAAAAAAUAACCAUGCACUACAUUAUAGUAAAUAGAAUUAGAACAUACUAAUAUCAGCAUAAUCUAAAUAGUUAAUCAUUAUUACAGGAAGAAAGCUUUAUGACAAAUUCGGUAAAAUGAAUGAUAUAGUUACUUCAACUUCCUGAGUGAAAACAAUAUUAGCAUCAUUCUCUGGGUCAUUUUUUGGAUCAUUCUCUGGGUUAGUGAAUCGAAUAUCAUUCUCUGAGUUUUUAUUCUCUUUCAAUACAUGGAUUCCGCUAUACAUGAACGGGAAUCCAAAGUCAACCUCUGCAUGGUUCCACUUAUUUUCUAAUAAGACAUUCUCUGAGUUAAUCAUUGAUUUCACAUUCGAAUUGAGUUUUAAUGUGAGCGUGAAAUUGGAGAAAUAUAGAAUGAACUUGAGAUUUAUUUUGUACUGGAAAAGUCCACAGAAAAUUCGUGAAAUCAUCUAAAAAUAAUACAUAAUAAUGAUGUCCUCCUGAACUAAGAACAGGGGAUGUCCAAACAUCGCUAUGCACAAUAUCAAAAGACAUUAAAGUAUGAGACAAAGAAUUAGAAAAAGACAAUUUUAUUUGUUUCCCAAGUGGACAAGAAUGAGAAAAAAAUUUGUUCCGAAACUUAUUACAUAUAAGAAAAUUGUUUCGAUGUAGAGAAUCUAAGACUUGUGCUAUAGGGUGUCCUAAAGGGUUGUGCCAUACUUCAUUAGAUAAUGUGGCAAACGUAGAUGGUGGAUGGGCUGAAGUGUAAGGUCAGGUGGUAAGUGGGUAGAGGUCGCCGGAACUGUUACAUCUCAUUAAAGGCAUUCUUGUCUGAAAAUCAUUCACAGAGAAACCCAAGGGGUCAAAUUCAACGGAAACAUCAUUAUCAAUGGUAAAUUUUCUAACAGAGACAAGAUCUUUUAUCAAUUUAGGGGCAUGUAAAACAUUUUGUAAAUUGAAAGAGUUUGGAGAGGUAGGUAAUGAUGCAUGUCCAUAACCGAUAACGGGAAUAUUAUGACCACUACCAACAGUAAUAUUGUUGCUCGUAUUGAAAUAAGACAUAAGAUUACCUCCGUUCUCCGUCAUAUGCGAUGUAGCCCUGGUGUCCAUAUACCAUUGAUCAUCUGGAGGAGAAAUAGAGAAGGUAUGCAUAGCAGCUUGAAUGUCCGUUGGAGCAUAUGAAGAGGAUCCUUGGUGACUGGCCUGGUACGGUGUAGUGCUUGCUACAUGAGCCUCAUGAGUUGGCUUUUGACCAAGAAUACCAGCUUGCUUGUUCGAGUUUCCCGUUGUAGGGUACGGACCAAGGUUGCUGCCACGGUGGAAAAUUCCAUUGUUGAUUUUGGUUAUGAUAUGGUGGAUAAGCCCAUUGUGGUUGUUGAUGUUGGUACAAUGGUAAACCGGCUUGUAAGGUGAGGAUUGCCUCCUCUUUAUAAACUUUCAUCAAGAGUCUUAAAUCCGAUGUGGGACUUAAGUUUUUCCUAAUACACCCCCCUCACGCCCAACACUCUUUGGGCUUGGUGCGUGAAUAGGUAAGUGGCCCUUGAAUUCGACAAGCUCUGAUACCAUGUUGGAAGGAGAGGAAUAUGAUAGAGGGAUGAAUAUUGGCCGUGCCUUUUCAUUGAUAUUCGUGCUGUAUAUAUACAUCAUGUGUGCUCUAAUAAUUCUCAACAACUAAUGAAUAUCCCUAAUAAUUCUCAACAAACUAAUCAGUAAUUAUUUACAACAAUCUCUAAUAAUAUUCUUUCUAUAUUUACAUACUCUAAUAAAAACUUAUCUUCUCCUUCUUCUUCUCUAUGAAAACUCUCUAAUAUUUCUCAAUUUACUCUUCAGAUUACCGGAUCUCAUUCAAUUAUUGAGUUUUGUUACACUUUUUAAAAUAUAAAAGAAUAAAAACUAGACAUAUGAGUGCGGCGUUGUGUUGCUCCUCGUCUUAUAUGACAUUUUUUUUAUUUCAUAUCUUGUUGCGGUGUUUAUUUUGUAGAUAUUGAAAGAUCAACUUUAGUUAAUCAAUUGUAGAUUCAAUCAAUGACGUGGGCGUCAACGUUGCAGAUCCGGAAGCUAGAGUAUUCUGGUGAUUUAGAUCUUAUCAUAUUAUUUAUAGGCAUUUUGUCGUUGUAAUAUGUUAUUAACUUGGUUGUUGUGAGUUUGUUCUCAAAUUCACCCUUUACGUUUUUAGCGAUAUUGAUGAUGUUAUUGUAUCCAGGGGCGGUUUCACCGUCCGACGAUCCCGGGCGGUUGCCCGGGCUCAAUCGAUAAUUUUUGCACAUUAGACCCAACCAAAAAGUUCAUUAACACAUUUACAGAAAGAAAAAUUUGGGCAAUCUGAAAAUUCUUACACGCAAAUAGGUCUCGGAAUUUUAUUUAGCACACUAGUGCCGGAUUCAUCUCUCUUAUUUUAACAGGUUAAUUGUUCAAAUUGACCCUGUAAUAUACUUUAUGUCUGAAAAAUGACCCAAUAAAAUAUAAAACAUAUAUUCUAGCAUUGUAACUUGAAUUUCUUCUUAUUUUUUACCACCCUAUAAUAUAUGUGUAGUCUAAAAAUGUGACCUACAGGUUGAAUUUUUUCACUAUUUUUUUCAUACAUGUUUAGCACGUUAAAAUAUAGCUUUACACAAAAAAAUUAAAUUUCUUCGACUAGGGAUAAAUUAAUUAUGAAUUUUUAUUCACUCAUAAUUAUGAAUUUCUUAAACUAACUUAUAAUUAAUUUGUAUCUCGUUUAAAAACUACAAAAUUUCAUUGUGAAUGUUCUUAUCAUGUUCCAAUCAUGCCUACAAAAUUAGGGAAUUAAAUUUGACUUGUGAGUAUACACUUACGCGGAACAAAAUUUCAAUUUUGCAUGUUUUGGUUGAAAAAUCAAAAUAAAUAAACGACUUCGAAAUGCUAUGAAACUUUACAGAUUCUUUUUAUGUAUUUUUAUAGAUGUCUCUGCAAAUAAUGAGCUCAAAAUUCGAUUUAUAGGUCGAGAUUGCCGUUGUUUUGUUUUUUGAGCUUUUGACACUUUAAAAAUUCACAAUUAGUUUGUCGUUUGUCUAAAAUUUAUAAUUUUUUUGUGUAAAGCCAUAACUCGCCUCUAAGAAAUCAUGAAAAAAAUUCAAUCUCUCGGUUGUUUUUUUGGACUUCUCGUAUACUACAGGUUAUAAAUAAUAAAAAUCCUGAAUUAUAUGGUCAGAAUACAUGUGAUUUAAUUUACAAGGUCAAUUUUCAGACUUCACGUAUAUUACAUGGUCAAUCUCAAUUAAUAACCCUAUUUUAAAUUGUACUUUUGUUGACAAAAUGAUAAACCUCUUUUAUUUCGAUUUUUUUGAGGAAAAAAAAAUUAAAAAAAAAUUUGAUUUAUGACUGUUUAUAUAUUGUCACAUGUGAAGUUGCAAUAAAUUUUUCGCCCGGGCUCCAUAAAUUUCCUGGCUCCGCCACUGAUUGUAUCUGAUGUAUUCUAUCAAUUUGAAUGAAUGAAUAUUGUUUUGCCUUUGUCAAAAUAAAAAACUACACAUAUGUAUGUACGUGUUUGUUACAUAUUUUUAAUAUUUAAAUUUAUUAUUAUCUAUUUGUUAUAUAUGUGUUAUUUGAAUUAAAAGAGAAAAAGACAGCUUAAAAGAGCUGAAAGGAUUAUUUUCUUUAUAUAAUAAUAAUAAUAAUAAUAAUAAUAAUAAUAAUAAUAAUAAUAAUAAUAAAUAAAAGUUAUUUAUAGUUUCUAUAUUUUUUGACAAGUUUAAAAUUUGGCUUAAUUGCUAUUUUAGUCCCUUAACUAAUUAUUUGGUAUCGGUUUGGUCCCAUAACUAAAAAAAAGUCCGUUUUGGUAUUUUAACUUUUGUUCCGUUACAUGUUUUGGUCCCAUCUGUUACUUUUAAUUCAAUUCCGUCAAGUGUGAGCAUAGGUGGCAUUUAAGGGCUGACUUGGCAUACAUUUAGAUGAUGAGAUGGCAUAAGUAACACUUUUAGGACAUUUUAGAGAGAUAAUAAUCAUCUAGAGAGAGAAGUAGAAGAAGAAACGUUUUGCUUUGGCUGAGUUUUCACGCGAAGAAGAAGAAGACGAAAUCGAAGGAACACAAUCUCGCCGACGACAUCAGGUUUGUUUUUUUUCUUCUUCAUCUGUUAUUUGUUUCAUCGAUGGGUUAAAUUUUUUUGGCUUCAAUGUUACUAUUUUUGGGUUAGGGUUUAUGAAAAGUGGUUUCUGGUUUUAGGGCGUUUUGUUUCUGGUUUAUGGUUUUAGGGUUUAAUGUUGGUAUAGGGUUUCAAUAAAUGCAAAUUUUAAACCUUUGUUGUGUAUUGUUGUUGUUUUAGGGUUUUUUGUGAAUAUUAAAUUGAAGUGGUCCAGGUUUUUUUGAUAUUCGUGUAUGUUUGUUUAUUAGGAUUCGUGGGUGAGUGUUCAUGGAGGAUAAGUUCGCGGUGGUCUGUCACUAUGGUGGUGCUUUUGAUGGUUUCAACCAUAAUGGAUAUUAUGGUCUUGAGAGCACUUGGUUAUGUGAUCCAGAUUACUGGAGCUACUUUGAUAUCAUAGGUAAUCUAGAUGUUUUAGGUUAUAAGGAAGAAGCUAUUGAAUCUAUCUGGUUUUAUGAACCAUACAUGGCUGAUGAAAUGGUGCUAUUGGAUAAUGAUAAUCGUGCAAGGAGGGUUAAAGCUAUAGCACACAGUGAUGGACAAGCACAUAUCUAUAUUGUUCACAAAAUAUCACAACCAGAUAUUGUUGAGAUGAUAGAGUAUUAUGGUUUAGGUGAAUACAAUAUGACUGGUGAGGAUGGUCCUAGUGAUAAUGCAGGUCCCACUGUUGAUGAAGCUUCAAAUGAUGUGGCAGAGGCUAAUGUAGGGGUGGGGCCCACUGAAGUUGAAGAUGAAGUAGAAAAAGCUGGUGAUGAUGUUGGGGAAAGUGGGCCAUCUGUUGGUGAAGAAGUAACUGGACCGGAUGUGAGUGAAAAUCAAUUUGGGCCAACUGUUGGUGAAGAGGAAAGUGGGCAAGAUGUGGGUGAAAAAGUAUUAGAAAAGGAAGUUGGGGUAGGGGAUAAUGUAGAGGUGGAGCCCACUAAAGUUGAAAGAGAAAAUGAAACAUUUGGGCCCACUGUUGUUGAAGUGGAAGUAGAAAAAGCUGGUGAUGAUGUUGGGGGAAGUGGGCCAUCUGUUGGUGAAGAAGUAAUUGGGCCAGAUGUGAGUGAAAAUGUAUUAGAACCAACUGUUGGUGAAGAGGGAAGUGGGCAAGAUGUGGGUGAAAAUGUAUUAGAAAAGGAAGUUUUUGGUGUUGGUAAGAAAAAUGACAAAGUUACUAGUGUUGGUAAGAAAAAUGACAAAGGUAAGGAGCCUGCUGUAGAGGAAGAAGAUGAAAUUUGUUUUGAGUUAUAUGAGGAUAGUGAUGUUGAGAGUGUUCAAGAUGUACGUUUUGUUGAUGAAGACAUGGAAUGCAUGCUUAAUGACUGCUUUGGUUAUGGUGAGGGAGUUAAUGAUGAUGAGGGAGGUUAUGGUGAUGAGAGAGGUAAUGAUAAUGAGGGAGCCAAUCAUGUUGACAACAACGUUUCAGCAGGUAUGUUACAAACCCCCCCCCCCCCCCCCCCUAAUGCAGAAAAUAAUAUUAUAAAGAAGUCCCUCUGUUUAUAUGUUGUUAAUGUAUGAUGUUUAUGCAGGGAAUAAUGAUGUUGAGGAACAUGCUACAGAACCACCAAGGAAGAAGAGGGGUAGACCAAGGAAGCAGCCUGUUGAUCCAGUUGCUACUGAUGGAGCAGAAAAAUUUGUGCCUGAAGCUAAUCAAAAUGAGAGUAGUAGUGGUACUGAUGAUGAACUGAUUAUUGAGGAAGGGUCUGGUCAGGCAAAUAUGGUAGAAGAUAAAGGUUUCGAAGAUGCUGAGGAGUAUAAUUCUGAAGAGCUUGAUAGUGGAAGUGACAGUGAUGGGGAAUGUGAAUUUCAAGGCAAGUUUCCUACAUUCAAACAACCAAAGAAGAUGUUAGAUUAUAAGUGGGAGGUAGGUACAUAUUUUGGUACCAAAUCAGAAUUUCAACAUGCUAUGAGGACAUAUGCAAUUCAUUCUGGUAGGGAAAUCAAGUUUGUGAAGAAUGACAAAUUGAGGAUGAGGUUGGAAUGCAGAGGCAGAGGCAACUGUGAAUGGAAGGCUUUCUGUGCCAAAAUACGAAAUGAGGCAACUUGGCAGCUGAGGCAAGUUGGUCCUAACCAUACAUGUAGUAGGGGUAACAAGGUGAAAUUUCUGAAUUCUAAGUGGCUUGGUACAAAACUUCAGCCUAAUGUGAGGGAAAACCCAACUGUGAAAAUCCAAGACAUCAUCAACAAGAGUAAUGAGAAGUGGAAUAUCAAAGUGACAAAGACAAAGGCCAUCAGAGCUAGAUCAUUGGCUUUUGAUGCUGUUGAUGGCUCUUUUAGGGAGCAGUAUACUAGGAUGCAUGACUAUUGUCAUGAGUUGCUGAGAUCAAAUCCACAUUCUACAGUGAAGAUAACUAGUACACCAUAUCUACCUUCUGAAGAUGAUUUACAAGAUCCUACUGCUAAUCUAAAUCCUCACUUUCAAAGAGUAUACAUAUGCUUCAAGGCAUGUAAAGAUAGUUUCCUAAAGUGCAGACCUAUCAUUGGCUUGGAUGGAUGCUUCCUGAAAGGUUACUAUGGUGGUCAACUUUUAACAGCAAUUGAAACAGAUCCAAAUGAUCAAAUACUCCCUAUUGCUUAUGCUGUUGUUGAAGGAGAGACAAAAGAAACAUGGGCUUGGUUUUUAGAUUUGCUUGUGAAUGACUUGGGUGGUGUGGCAAAAUGUGCUGAAUAUACAUUCAUAAGUGACCAACAAAAGGUAUGCUAUAUUAAUUUCUUGUAAACAUAUGGAUGUUAUGCUGAAUAUGUGUGUUAUAUUGAAAAUGUGUAUACUGAAUAUGUGCUAUGUUGUCUAUGUUAUAUUUAGGGACUGUUGCCAGCAAUGGAUGAAUUGCUGAAAGAUGUUGACCACAGAUUCUGUGUUAGGCAUCUGUACAAUAACUUCAGAAAACAAUACCCUGGAAAGAAACUAAAGGAACUGAUGUGGAAGGCAGCCACAUCAACAUAUCCAAAUGCAUGGAUGGAUGCUAUGAAGGAGAUCAAGGCAAUCAAUCCAGAGGCAUUCAAGCAUUUGAUUCAAAUACCACCUAGAAGAUGGAGCAGAUCAUAUUUCAGGGUUGUACCAAAGUGUGACACUUUGGUCAACAACAUGUCAGAGUCUUUCAACUCUGUCAUUGUUGGCCCUAGAUCAAAACCAGUGAUCACUAUGCUUGAGGAGAUCAGAAUUUAUAUCAUGGAAAGGUGGGAGAAAAAUAGACACAAAAUUCAGAUAUAUCCAGAUAGUGUUUUGCCCAACAUCAAGAAAAAGCUUGAAAGAGAGGCUGCUUAUACAAACAAAUGGCUUACAAGGUAUGAUUGUUGGUACUUUUUAUUGAUUAAAUAGUAUUAAGUUGGUCCUUUAUAUAGAUUAUAAAGUAUUAAGUUGGUCCCUUAACUUUCUUAUAUAGUAUUAAGUUGGUCCCUUAACUUUCGUAUAUAGUAUCAUUUUGGUCCCUUAACUUUCUUAUAUAGUAUCAUUUAGGUCCUUCUUAAUUUCUGUUUUAAACCAUUCUGUAACAAGUGCAUGGUCCACUUUUGUCAUUUUGUAUGUGUGAAACAGGCGUUGUGGUGAAGACUUUUUUGAGGUUUGGCACAUUUCUCCAUCUAGGGAACAAUUUUCUGUCAAUCUUGGAACAAGAGACUGCUCUUGUAGGAAGUGGUUGUUGACUGGGCUACCAUGUGUACAUGGUAUUUGCUGUAUCAGGUAUAUGGAACUUGAUAUGUAUGAAUUUGUUCCUGAUGAAUAUAGGAGAGAAAGGUAUGAAGCAUGCUAUGCACAUAUGAUAUUCCCUGUUAAUGGUAGAUCUCUAUGGCAAAGAACUGCUUACACUGACCUGCAACCCCCACCUAUUAGAAGACAACCAGGUAGGCCCAAGAAAAAGAGAACUAAGGACCCAUCUGAAAUGCUGAGAGAUGAUUCACAAAUGAAGAGAGCAAGGUAUGGAAUUAAGUGUAGUAGAUGUAAGUCAGUUGGCCACAAUAAAUCAACAUGCAAGCUGCCUCCACCACCUGCUGAAACCCAAGCCACUGAUAACCCAUCUACAAAUCAACCUCAGCCAACUGAUAAUGCUACUACUAUCACUCAACCACCUGUACCAACCCAAAACCAAUCAACUACUUCCGCCACCACUACCAAUACUGUCAUUCAACAACCACAUGCACCAACCCAUAACCAAUCAACUACUUCCACCAACACCACUUGUAGUCAACCACCUUUUACUCAAACAUUUUCUACUCAAGAUUCCACAAAUGCACAGACUUCAGCUAAGCCCAAAUCUCAAGCAAACAAGAAGCAAGGUGGUGCUUCCAAGGCUAAUUCUGCUGCAACUGCGCCAAAUGCUUCCAAGAAACUAGCUGCUACUUCCAAGACUAAAGCUACUGCAACUAAUGUAGCAGCAACCUCCAAAAGGGGUCCAAACACCACAAGACAGAAGUUGCCAUUCAAAAGGGGUCAAACAAGUGCAACACAACCACCCUCCAAAUGAAGAAUCUGUCAUAUUAUUAAUUAGUUUUUAUUUUGGUCCUUUAUUAAGUUGAUGCUUAUGUAAUGAGAACCUAUGGCUUUAGUUUGUAUGCCUUUUUUGAGUUUGGUCUCAUUUUGAUGAUGACAGAAAAUGUAAGAGAACCUAUGGUUUUAAACCUUUUUGAUAUGGUCUCGCAUUUAUCAUUCAUGACUUAUGUAAUUGAGAACAUCUUGAGUUUGUCUCAAUCUUAUAAUUAAUCCAUGUGACAAAAAAUGUAAGAGAACCUAUGGUUUUACACCUUUUUGAUAUGGUCUCGCCUUUAUCAUUCAUGACUUAUGUAAUUGAGAACAUCUUCAGUUUGUCUCAAUCUUAUAAUUAAUCUAUGCGACUUAUUUACAAUUGUGUAUUGUUUAUAGUUGGAACCCUUUAUGUGUUUUAUCAUCACUUAUGUGUAAUUGACAACCUUUUGAUUUGGUCUCAUCAAUUUAUCAGGUUUAGUAGCUAAAAUACAUUACUGUAUUAUGUUUCCCAAAUUAACCAUUGCAUUGUAAAAUUAGGAUAAACAUUACAUCAGAUCUUUUCACAUUAUAUCAACAACAUACUUAAAUUACUUUAAAUACAUUCAACAUUCUACUAACACAUAACUAAGCUACACUUUAAAUACAUUGACAACAUCAUACUAAUCCAUCAACAUCAUACUAAUCCUUCAACAUUCUACUAACACAUAACUAAGCUACACUUUAAAUACAUUGAAAACAUCAUACUAAUCCAUAAACAUCAUAGUAAUCCUUCAACAUUAUACUAACAAAAACUUAAACUACUUUAGGUACAUUGAAAAAAUCAUUGUCAUUAACACAAUGUUAAACCCAAAACAUAAAAACCCAAACAUUAUUGCAAUCUUGGACCACCUCCUACUAUUACACAACUCUUCUUUUAGGAAACAAACUUCAUGCUUCAACUUCCCAUUUUUCUUCUUUAGCCUAGCAAUCUUCAUAUCACGUUCAUCAACAUCACCAUUAUCAUCAUCAGAAAGAAAUUGAAAAUAGUUGCAGCCACUAUCAGAUCGGUUCCUCCAAUUUCUACAUCCCCAAAACUUCUUUCCAUAAUUAGGGUUUCUCAUGUCAGUAACAGUUUUCAUAACUAAAAACUCACCACAUUGACAUUUUCGAAUCUGUCCCUUAAACCCAGAACCUACAGAUCCAGAGAUGGCCCUUCCAUUUUCGUUGUUGCUGUUGCUUCUGCGGUUAACAUGAGAACCUGCACUGGACAUGUUAUCGAAAACGGAAAAGAGAAGAAGAAGAGUAGAUGAAGAGAAGAUGAAGAAGGAUGUGAAUCUGAUAAAGAAGAAGAACAAACCCUAAUUUUUGGGGAAAAAUUAGAAAGGAAAAAGAAAACAACAAUAAAGAAAAGAACCUUAUAUAUUGAUGAGUCAUAUAUUGCCAAGUCAGCCCUUAAAUGCCACCUAUGCUCACACUUGACGGAAUUGAAUUAAAAGUAACAGAUGGGACCAAAACAUGUAACGGAACAAAAGUUAAAAUACCAAAACGGACUUUUUUUUAGUUAUGGGACCAAACCGAUACCAAAUAAUUAGUUAAGGGACUAAAAUAGCAAUUAAGCCUUAAAAUUUUAAUAUGUGAAAGAUAAUUAUAAUUAUUAUAAUUUCUAUAUAUUCCUAAUACAGAAAAAAUAAAAAUUGCCUACAAAAGUUUUAGAAUCGGAUGGACCCAUGCUAGCUCAAUAAAUACAUACAAUUUAUAAAAUAUAAGUACUGCAAAUAUAGAGCCGGCUAGACCGACGCUAUUGUUUUUAAUAAAACAAAAAUUCAGAUAUGUAACACUGAGUAGGCCUGGCCGAUGCUAAACCGACGCUAUUAGCGUCGGUGUUGGGCACCGAAGCUAAACUCUGACUCUAAAAAGCUGUUUUCUUGUAUUGUUGGUUCGUCCUUAGAAUCCAUUGCAUCCAACAAUACCUCAUUUGUAUCUAUCUGAUCUCAAGUUGUAUUCUCCAUUUUUCUUUUGACAAAUGAAACUGAUCUAGACCCUAAUGGGUCGAUUGGUGUGUUUAGAAAAUUAGAGGAGGUUCUUUUUUUUUUUUUUUUUUUUUUAUGGUUAGGUGAGAGGUGCUUUAAGAAAAUUUCAAAGGAGUUUAGUGUAAUUUUUCCUUUAAUCAUUAACGUUAGUUCUAUCAUUAAUUUUUUUUUUCUUAUGUUUUCAAAGCAGAUAAGAUUGCAAUGCUCUUUAACACAUAACCUCCAGUUCAACGCGCAGCUCCUGCGGAGUACUAGCCCCAUGCUUAGCAGGUGUUUGUUGGUAGCAGAGUUGAAAAAAUAUUGUAACAAGUCCUUGUAAGAAAUUCUAUUCCACGAUAAUAAAGGAAAUCAAGAUAACUCAACCCAAAGAAACGUAAAACAUAGUACUACUAUAUAAAAUAUAAAAUGUAAAACUAAAAGCUUGUAAGUAAAAUUCAGUCCAAUAAUAGAAGGAAAACUUAAAGCAUGAUAUAAAGACUGAAUUGAUGUUACUCAAAAUUGUACUACAUAUAUAAUAUAAUGAGUGACAAGAAGUUUUCACACUUGGCUGUGUGUAUGGUGUUCUAAUCUCUAUUACUUUUCUUACACAAAACAAUGAGGGCAAAAAACGAAACAACCCUUGCUAUGCACAACUUUUCUUACACAACAAUGAGUGCAAAAAACAAGCAUUUGCAAUACCACAAUUAACAUUCAUUAUCCCAUUCAACAAAAACCCUUCACUCAUCUCCUUUGGUCAUGGUCACAUUAUAGAACAGCCUUGAUCGAACCGAAUCCAAAUCCAACGUAUUCUUAAUGCUGCAAAUGUUACGGCUGGAAUUUCAUGUUAAGCCUGAAUCAAAUUUUCACAUCCCUAAAAGAGACUGAUACUCUAAAAGUGCGAAGGUUUAAUCAUAAAAACAAAGAGACCCACAAGAAACCAUUUUCUUGCUAAGCCAGUCUGGCACAAUCUUUUUCAAAAUCUCAACAUGUUCUACAGCUAGAUUGGGAGGAAUAAGAUUAGUUAGCUAAAUUGUUUAUUACUAAGAAAUAGUGAGAAUCAUAAUAAAAUAGAAUUAGAACAUACCAAAUCUAGAGUUAAUCACACCAAUGAUGAAAGAUUGUUAUCCGAUUCAUCCAAACCACUUUGAUCUACAUUGGUUUCCUCAAAGGAAUGACUAAGAAACCAAUCAACAAGAAAGCAAUUACUUAAAUGAGAGAAGAAAUUGCUUUUAGAAUAAAAAUUUCUUUUGAAAGGUACAAAAUAAAAUAAUAAGUGAAUCAAAAGAAUCAAAAGAUGGCAGGUAUACCUCCUGAGGUAAGGAAAAAGAAUCAAAAGAUUUGCAGUCCUAAAAGCAUCCUCUGCUAGGUUUAGAUGUAUGUCUGCUCUAUUGUCCAAAUCAUCGCUGCCUUCUGUGAGUGAAAAGUCUAGCACUCUUUUUGCAGGCGUAGAUUUUUGCACAUUUUGCACAGUGUCCUAAAAGCAUCCUCUGCUAGGUUUAGAUAUAUGUCUGCUCUAUUGUCCAAAUCACCGCUGCCUUCUGUGAGUGAAAAGUCUAGCACUCUUUUUGCAGGCGUAGAUUUUUGCACAUUUUGCACAGUGUCCUAAAAGCAUCCUCUACUAGGUUUAGAUAUAUGUCUGCUCUAUUGUCCAAAUCAUCGCUGCCUUCUGUGAGUGAAAAGUCUAGCACUCUUUUUGCAGGCGUAGAUUUUUGCACAUUUUGCGAAGUCUUGUUCAAGAGAAAGAUUUUUGCACAGUCAUUUUCUGAAGCUUAACAUAAGAACCGAACAACAACUGACCGUGCAGGCGUGUGUCAACAAACUGUCAGUACAAGAGACAAUUUUCAAAUCAGGGCUUUCCGAACUAAUAUCAUCAGGUUGAAAGGACAUUGACAAUGAUUCCUUCCGGUUGCCUCUUUCUCCAUUAAGAUUACUCACAUAAUUAAACAAUGGUGUGAACUCUCUCUGCCUUGUGCUUCACUUUCUUGGUUGUCUAGGAAGAUGGACUUAAAUGAUGAAAAGCACUGAAUUUGCUCAGUCUCGUUAGCCGCAUUGUUCUGAGAAAAGUGUCUUCUAAAAGAUGGACUCAAAUGCAAGUUGUUCAUCAACGGUUCAGUUUCAUCGGAAGUUGAUGAAAGUUCUGUUGACAAGUUAAUGGGCUCUGGUGGUAGCAUGGCAUGUGGAAGAUCAGUAACCUUAUCAAUAAUGAAAAGAAAAAAAAUAAAUUAGAGUAAUGAACUCAAUUCUUUCGCACAAGUCAGUAUUUCAAAUUUGUCUGCUUAACUAAGAACAACAAAAAGAAAUAUACUUCCUCUAAUGUAAGCAAGCCAAUAAAAUUUUGUGCAUUAACGAUCUUUUCAAUAACCAUCCCUUCUCUAAUUUUAACCUUCUUCCACUUUAUUUUUGUGACACCCAAGACAAACAUUAUAGCAUGUUUGGAAUACCUUAGUAGAACUUUUUCACUCACAUCAGUUUUAUGAGACUGUUUGGGAGAACUUACGAAAACAGCUUAUGCAUAUUUUCAUAGAAUGUUUUCAACUUAUUUUUAUAAGUUCUCCAAUAUAGUUUAUAAAAAGGAAAUGAAACGUUAUUUUAUCUUUUGUUACUAAAAUAGCUUAUGCAAGCUAAUACAUAAGCGCUUAUCAUGAUAAGCGCUUGUGCUAUCACCUGAAACAAAGUGGUUUUUCCAAACAGACCCAUAUCCUGUUACCAGAAAGAUGUGUAUCCUUGAGAAGAUAAUUUUUAUGAUGCGUGUGCAGUUGGUAGAAUUCUAAAUUUAAUAAACAGGUCUAACUCUUUAAUAUUAGCCACCACCAAACAGAAAUGUUUUCAAAAAGUAAAUGGAGCCUAGAAAUAUUAAAUUUCCCGACAAGAGACUAUCUCUCUAAAUUUACUGCAAAACUCAAAUCUACCGUAAACAGAAAGGGUUAAAUCUCUUUUUAAAGAUACAAUCAACAUGAAUCUGUUGUGAAUUCGAUGAAAAAUCACACCAAUAACAACUUGAUGUGUGGAGCAAGGGAUAAUCAAGCAACCAAAACAAAGCGUAUGGAACAAUUAAAUACGAGCCAAAAAGUAGAAAACAACUGCGAGAAGAACAAAAGAAGAAGAAGAACACAAAGGAAUUUGUUGACCCAGUUCGGUCCAAUCUGACCUAGUCUGGGGGAGAGAGCAGCCCUCCGAUCCACUAUUUGAUGAGUAACGUUACAAAGAGAAAUCAAUGGGUUACAAGAAUAAGUCUUCCGCCUAAUUCUACCUAAAGUCCCAAUCUCUUUCCGUAACCAAGAGACUCCAAUCCUAAUAGUGUUUCUCUCUAUCUCAAUCUCUACUCUCUCUCUCUCUCUCUCUCUCUCUCUCUCUCUCUCUCUCUCUCUCUCUCUCUCUCUCUCUCUCUCUCUCUCUCUCUCUCAGAGUUUGCUUUGAUACAAGGUCUAUAUUUAUAGUAAAAGUCCUGCUUAAAAUCUAUAACAAAUCUGCCUUAAAUUUGUAACAAAUCUGUAACAAAAACUGUAACAAAUCUGCUCCCAAAAAUAUGUUUUAUUUUUAUCCGCCAGCGCACCAUCGUGCCACGAUGCGACCCCAUCGUGCCACGAUUUUUCCAGUGCCUUGCCCAAAAAACUAAAACCUCCAUCGUGCCGCGAAGCCCAGCCGUCGUGCCACGAUUGUGCAGAAACCUGAUUUUAAGUUAACUCUCACAGAAUCAUUGUACAUUGUAAUAAAUGGCAUCAUGAAAUAUUAAUCUAAAAAAUACAAACUGUUAAAAGCUUCCUAUUUGCAGGAGUUCUUAACGAAAUAUAUAUAUAUAUAUAUAUAUAUAUAUAUUGAAGGGAUUCUUAAGAAAUAUCAAUCUCAAAAAAAUACUAGCAUGGUUUUGCUUGGUUUUCCGAAAAGAGUAAGCAAAGCAUUCACCAUUCUCUUUUGAAAGAGCUCUAGUAAUCAAUAUUAGAGGAAGAAAAGUUUAUGACAAUUUGGGUCAAAUGAAUGAUAUACUUACUUCACCCCGAGUGAUUACAAUGUUAGCAUCAUUCUCUGGAUUGGUGAAUCGAAUAUCCUUCAAGUUAAUUUUCUCUUUCAAUACAUGGAUUCCACUUUUAAGGAAUUUGAAUCCAAAGAGAACCUCCGCAUGGUUCCACUUAUUUUCUGAAAGUGCUUUGUCCAUAUUAUCAUUGAAGUUUUCCAUUUGCAUAUGAAAAAGAUGCAAAUGAUAUGUAUCUGCAUGUGAUUUGGCACCAAUCUUCGAACCAUGUGUAUAAAAAAAUGUAUCUCCGUUGAUGAUCACUCUUAAUGGAGAACCAUCCCAUGUAAAUGGAGAAAGAACAUAGAGAGCUAUGACAGGAAACUUGUUACGAAACCAAAAAGAAAUAUAUGUUCCUGCCAUACAAUGGUGAUCAAACCACUCUGGAAAUGUUGCUUGUGGCAAACGAAACCAUGUUUUUCCAGCCUCAUGUAAUUCCUGUUAGUCAUAAACAAUUAAUAUAAGUUUAACUAUAUCAAGAAGAAUAUAAAAUACAUUACAAAUAAAAAAGAAAAUAAAUCAUAACCUGAUUUAGCAAUUUGCUCUUGCACGACGAAGUCAACGACUUGCAGUUUAGUGCAGAUAACAUUCUUAAGCAUGGAGGAAUCCCUUUAAUUUCUUUAAGUGCCGUACAAUCAUCCAAGAUGAGUUUCCACAAAAAUUGACAAUUUUCAAUAGAUUUAGGAAUAACUGUGAAAUGAUUACUAGUUAAGUGUAAUUCUUUCACAUUAGCAAACAACAUAAGACUUUUUGACAGAUAUUCCUCUGAACGAUAGCCGACGUGCCUGACACAAAUAUACUUUACAUGUGAAGAUUGAAUUGCAUUCACUUUUUCUUCAUUCCUAAUGGUAAAUUUAGCCAAUGUUGACAUCCUAUUUGGUAAGUAAACAUAUCCACAGUCACAUAAUGUCUGAGGCUGAGUAAGAGUUUUAAAGGGAAAUGGAAUUUCUUUUAUGGGAGUAUCAUCCUUAAGGAGUCCUGGUAUAUUUCUCAUUUCCCCCAAUAUUUCUGGAAAACUCUCGAGACUAUAACAACAUGAAAGAUUGAAAUAUUCCAAUGAAGUCAACCUGAGCCGUGGGAUAUUCCUAAGCAUGAUGCAACAUUCAAUAUUCAAAAAUUUAAGUUUAUCCAACAACCCAUCCACCACACAUGGAAAACUCUCAAGACUACAGCAACAUGAAAGGUCAAGUUUCUCUAAAGAAUCCAGCUUGAGAGGUGGGAUACUCUUGAGAUUGUAACACUUUCUAACAAGCAGGGUUUUAAGUUUUCCAAGAAACCCGUCCACCACAGGUGGAAAGCUCUCGAGCCUAUGACAUGAUGAAAAGUCAAGGGUUUCCAGUGAAUUCAACUUGAGAGGUGGAAUACUCUUGAGAUUGUGACACUUUGCAAAACACAAGGUCUUAAGUUUUCCAAGAAACUCGUCCACCACAGAUGGAAAAUUCUCAAGAUUAUAACAAUGUGAAAGGUUAAGAUAUAUUAGCGAAUCCAACUUGAGAGGUUGAAUACUCUUGAGAUUGUGACAACUUUCAACAUUCAGGGUUUUAAGUUUUCCAAGAAACGCAUCCACCACAAGUGGGAAAUUCUCAAGACUAUAACAUUGCGAAAGGUCAAGUGUUUCUAGAGAAUUCAACUUGAGAGGUGGAAUACUCGUUAGUUUGCAGCAACCUUUAACAUUCAAGGUUUUAAGUUUUCCAAGAAACGCAUCUACCACAAGUGGAAAAUUCUCAAGACUAUAACACUGCGAAAGGUCAAGUGUUUCUAGAGAAUUCAACUUGAGAGGUGGAAUACUCCUUAGCAUUUUGCAAUAUAUAACAUUCAUGGUUUUUAG